rnacentral:rRNA from 1 species
GAUGAACGCUGGUGGCGUGCCUAACACAUGCCAGCCGAGCGAUUCUCUUCGGAGAAGAGCGGCGGACGGGUGAGUAACGCGUGGGUAACCUGCCCUGUACACACGGAUAACAUACCGAAAGGUAUGCUAAUACGAGAUAACAUGCUUUUAUCGCAUGGUAGAAGUAUCAAAGCUUUUGCGGUACAGGAUGGACCCGCGUCUGAUUAGCUAGUUGGUGAGGUAACGGCUCACCAAGGCGACGAUCAGUAGCCGACCUGAGAGGGUGAUCGGCCACAUUGGAACUGAGCCACGAUCCAAACUCCAACGGGAGGCAGCAGUGGGGAAUAUUGCACAGUGGGCGAAAGCCUGAUGCAGCGACGCCGCGUGAGCGAUGAAGGCCUUCGGGUCGUAAAGCUCUGUCCUCAAGGAAGAUAAUGACGGUACUUGAGGAGGAAGCCCCGGCUAACUACGU